rnacentral:rRNA from 1 species
UACCAGCACCCCGAGUGGUCGGGACGAUUAUUGGGCCUAAAGCAUCCGUAGCCGGUUCUACAAGUCUUCCGUUAAAUCCACCUGCUCAACAGUUGGGCUGCGGAGGAUACUAUAGAGCUAGGAGGCGGGAGAGGCAAGCGGUACUUAGUGGGUAGGGGGUAAAAUCCGUUGAUCCAUUGAAGACCACCAGUGGCGAAGGCGGCUUGCCAGAACGCACUCGACGGUGUGGGAUGAAAGCUGGGGGAGCAAACCGG